CCUACGGGAGGCAGCAGUAAGGAAUAUUGGUCAAUGGACGAAAGUCUGAACCAGCCAUGCCGCGUGAAGGAUUAAGGCCCUCUGGGUUGUAAACUUCUUUUAUCUGGGACGAAAAAAGGGUAUUCUUACUCACUUGACGGUACCAGAGGAAUAAGCACCGGCUAACUCCGUGCCAGCAGCCGCGGUAAUACGGAGGGUGCAAGCGUUAUCCGGAUUUACUGGGUUUAAAGGGUGCGUAGGUGGGCUUGUAAGUCAGUGGUGAAAUCUCCGGGCUUAACCCGGAAACUGCCAUUGAUACUAUAGGUCUUGAAUUAUCUGGAGGUAAGCGGAAUAUGUCAUGUAGCGGUGAGAUGCUUAGAUAUGACAUAGAACACCAAUUGCGAAGGCAGCUUACUACGGAUAUAUUGACACUGAGGCACGAAAGCGUGGGGAUCAAACAGGAUUAGAUACCCUGGUAGUCCACGCCCUAAACGAUGGAUACUCGACAUCAGCGAUACACUGUUGGUGUCUGNGNGAAGANAUAGUAUACCACCNCGGAGAGANCGCAGAGUAGAACGUACGAAAGAAGUAGACGGCGNGAGAGAGACGACGGACGACGACGAGGGAGGAGG
rnacentral:rRNA from 1 species